rnacentral:rRNA from 1 species
UACGUGAAACCGUUCAGGGGUAAACGGGAGAAAUCCUGAAUUCGAAAGGGAUUGGAUUCAAGUCCAUCCGGCUGCGCAGGCCACCUGGCCCCACCAGAUGGCGCUGGUCGCCCACGGUGAUUCAUUUUGCUUGUGGUGUCGUUCCUGGCGAUCACUCGGUGAGGUGGUGUUGCUCUGGCAUGCGGAGGAGUGCACUUCCCCCCUAGUAGAAACGUCGCGACCCGUUGGGUGCCGGUCUAAGGCCUGGGAAGGCAGCCCGUGUGUCCUGUGGGGGUUCUCACAGGUGCGCGGACUCUCGGUGUCCCGGCCGGCUGCCCGACGGUAUGACCAGAGGAGUCGAUCCGCUGAAUGGGAAACACUUUGGCUGUGUAGCGUCCGGCCCGGCGACGACGCGUGUGGGGAUUGAGGUGCAAACCUGGGGUGUCCGUGCUAAGCACGGCCCCGGCCCCACAUCGCUGUCGAAUCUGCUGGUGUCCUCGGACUGGAUCGUUACUCCCGUCUGCGACGCCCACCUUCGGAUGG